rnacentral:rRNA from 1 species
UACGUCCACACCUUUUAGGUGUGGGCCAGUUGGCUGUCAUACUUCCAAGAAAAGCUCGAACUACUGUAAAGCAUCAAAUACCUGUACCGUAAACCGACACAGGUGGGUUGGUAGAGUAUACCAAGGGGCGCGAGAUAACUCUCUCUAAGGAACUCGGCAAAAUGACCCCGUAACUUCGGGAGAAGGGGUGCCAAGUAACUAAAAUUGCUUGGUCGCAGUGACCAGGCCCUGGCGACUGUUUAUCAAAAACACAGGUCUCCGCAAAGUCGUAAGACAACAUAUGGGGGCUGACGCCUGCCCAGUGCCGGAAGGUUAAAGAAGUUGGUUAUUCAUUCGUGGAGAAGCUGACGACUGAAGCCCCGGUGAACGGCGGCCGUAACGAUAACGGUCCUAAGGUAGCGAAAUUCCUUGUCGGGUAAGUUCCGACCCGCACGAAAGGCGUAACGAUCAGGGCACUGUCUCGGAGAGAGACUCGGUGAAAUAGACAUGUCUGUGAAGAUGCGGACUACCUGCACCUGGACAGAAAGACCCUAUGAAGCUUGACUGUAGCCUGGAAUUGGGUUCGGGCUCUUCUUGCGCAGCCUAGGUGGGAGGCUUGAAAGCUUUCUUUUGGGAAAGCUGGAGCCAUCAGUGAGAGACCACUCUGGAGGAGCUAGAAUUCUAAUGGCGUUCCUUGAAGCAGGACGCUUGACAGUUUCAGAUGGGCAGUUUGACUGGGGCGGUCACCUCCUAAAAGGUAACGGAGGUGUGCAAAGGUUCCCUCAGGCUGGACGGAAAUCAGCCGUAGAGUGUAAAGGCAGAAGGGAGCUUGACUGCAAGACCUACAAGUCGAGCAGGGGCGAAAGCCGGCCUUAGUGAUCCGACGGUUCCAUGUGGAAGGGCCGUCGCUCAACGGAUAAAAGUUACUCUAGGAUAACAGGCUGAUCUUCCCCAAGAGUUCACAUCGACGGGAAGGUUUGGCACCUCGAUGUCGGCUCAUCGCAACCUGGGGCGGUAGUACGUCCCAAGGGUUGGGCUGUUCGCCCAUGAAAGCGGUACGUGAGCUGGGUUCAGAACGUCGUGAGACAGUUCGGUCCAUAUCCGGUGUAGGCGUUAGAGCAUUGAGAGGAGCCUUCCAUAGUACGAGAGGACCUGGAAGGACGCACCUCUGGUAUACCAGUUAUCAUGCCAAUGGUACACGCUGGGUAGCCAUGUGCGGAGUGGAUAACCGCUGAAAGCAUCUAAGUGGGAAGCCCACCUCAAGAUGAGUGCUCUCCAUCAGGUCACAGGAAGACAACCUGUUUGAUAGGCAGAAGGUGUAAGGCUAGUAAUAGUUUCAGCUGAUCUGUACUAAUAGACC